ensembl:lncRNA
GCAGAAGCAUAAACUAGCCUUUAUUCCGCCGUGUUGAAAAUGCUAAUCUAGUUCAAGCUAGUUAGCUAGACAGCUGUACGCUAGUCUGCUAACUUACUAAUUACGCCAUGCUAAAUGCUACCCUUUGCGCUAGCUGUAUGUUAGUUAGUUAGCAUGCAUAUUAUCCCAUGUUUCACCAUAAUAAUAAUAAUAAUCACUUUUUAUUUUAAUGUUUUAUUCAUAGUUUAAUCAUGUUCUGCGUAAAUGUUGUAACUAAUGCUGUGGAAAAAUGUAGAUAAAAAGUGCAAAGUGCAAAGUCAAACCGCAAAACUAAACCGUUCAGAAAAUACAGUCUUUUCGCCACGUAAAGUUCAAACCAUCAGCAGCUAUUCAAUGUGGUUAUUCCUAAUUUGAAUAUACAGAAAAAAGAAGUGAACAGAAGAUUUAAGUUUCAUUUUCAAUAUUAUUAACUUCCUGUUUCUGUAGUUGACUGAAAAACCAUAUACUUUAUCACCACAAAUGAAAGGCGGGAACAGGAAGAGAAACCAAACCCAGAACCCACCAGCAUCAUGACAAUGAAAGUAUUACUCUGAGGCAUUUGCUGCAAAGCCAAAGAAAAGCUAUUAUAAUUGCUAUUAUUAGUGGUGCCCACUGGAUUUGAUUAUCUUAGAUGAAACUUUUAUAAUCCCUGAGGGAAACUGCUGCAGAGACAGCGGCUCUGUAUUUAGUAAUCACAAGUAGAAGCACAUAUGGAUACAAAAAGAGGAUUGUGAAAACAUGAAUACUGUUUGUGUAUUGUGUAUAAAUACGAUUUAAUGUGCAAAUGUUUUUUUUUUUUUAAUCAUUUCUAACAACAUAAUCCAGUAUUCGCUAAAAUAAUAACGCUCUGGUUUCCAUAUUGCUCAAAGAUUUAUUGUAGACUUUUCUUAUUUCUGCAUUGCUUGAAAGUAAGUGCUCUGCUUUUGUUUUUCCAAAGGAAAACUCAGAAUCGCAGAGCUCCAGAGAAUGUCUGGCUUCUCCACCAAGUAGGAAAUCUCACUCCACUGGAUUUUCCUCAGAUUUCAUAUUGAAUAGAAAAAGUUUCACAUUUAAGGAGAUGCAUUUAUUCUCUUUGUUUGCCGUGUAUCACAUGAGAAGAGUUACACUGCAUGUAUAUUUGUUGGUUAGAUAUAAAGCUAAAGUAUAAAACAUAAAGCUGUUGUUUUCAAGGCCCUGAUGGAGCCCAACAAUUUUAAAUUGCAGAUUUUGUUCUGAUAAAAAAAAACAGAUAUCAAGAUAUAACUUGAUUAUUAUUGAACUGCAAAAGUAGAACUUUAAUUGAGACCAGAUCCGAGUUCCACCCUGCUGCAGUCAUGAAAUGUUUCUUCCAAAAAGAGUUUGUGACUAAUAGAUGGUUCCUGAGUAGAACCUUUAAGAAGAACCCUUUGGAAGCCUUACGUUUGUAGCUUCUUAGUGAAGGACACAUGUGUGAAUUAUAUCAAUAUUCUCAUCUGGCAAAAAAAGUGAAUAAAUGUGUUUCACAAAGUGUGUCACUGAUCCAUGAGGUUGGAUUCUACACUCGAAAGUGUGAAACAUUUCUUCUUCUCGAUUCCUCAGGAGCAAUCAAUACCAGGGGGGCGAGUAUGUUUCGGAGAUCCCACCUUUACCUCCUCGGACACAGUUUCUCCUCACAGGCAAGAAACAAAGCACGAUACACACGAGUCAUUUUCACCGAUCCUACACAAGAAGUACUUCUCACUAAACCGGAGGGAGUCUGAAGUGUGUUACACUGUAAACACACAGUAAAACCAGAGGUUUUCUCCACAAGGACCAAAAUCAACAGUGGAGGAAAAAGUCACUUGAGGUUACUUUGAUUGAGAUGUUGAGGACUUCUUCCCUCGCUGGUGUCUGACCAUAAGGCCAAAGGGAUGUGUGAAAUAAGGAAAGCAGUUUAAGAUAAGUGAGUGAUGACGGAUGUGUGAAAUAGUUCUAGCCAUGUAUGAAAUAUGGUUGUAUAUUUUGAUGGAAUCAAACAUAUGUUUAGAGUCAAAGGGUUUCAUAAAAUAAUUAAACAUCUGCCCCACUGUCCAGACUCCAUAUAUCUAGUAAUAAUAAACUGCUUUAAUACAUUUUUUUUUAUUUCAGAGGCCCAAAGUUAUGAGAACCUGGACGCCGCAGAUGAUCAGACUGAUCGGACUGAUCAGACUGAUCAGAUCGUCCACGAGCAGGACGUCCCAGACUACGAGCAGGUUGACCAGGACGUCCCGGACUACGAGCAGGACGUCCCACACUACGAGCAGGACGUCCCAGACUACGAGCAGGUUGACCAGGACGUCCCGGACUGCGAGCAGGACGUCCCAGACUACGAGCAGGUUGACCAGGACGUCCCAGACUGCGAGCAGGACGUCCCGGAAUACGAGCAGGACGUCUCAGACUACGAGCAGGUUGACCAGGACGUCCCGGACUGCGAGCAGGACGUCCCAGACUACGAGCAGAUUGACCAGGACGUCGCAGACUACGAGCAGGACAAGCAGUCCGACUCUUUGAAGGCGGUGGGUGAGGACGAGCCUCUCCCUCUGAUUCCACGGUACCCAGAUCUAGAUCCAGCAGCAGACAGUUUCUCAGAGGACGACUACGACGACAUCGGGGGUGAAGAUGAAACCGAGGGGGAAGAGGACUACGACGAUGUGGCUUAGGACCACAAGAGAACGGGAGAGAGAUCAUUCAAGUAAAGACGCUGUCAACCCUCUGGAUCAGAACGAAGUCCCCCGGGCAGGUGGAAGGUUUUCAUGUGUUUCAUAAGUAGAAGGGGUGGUUGUCUGUAGUUAAUGUGUGGUUUUCAAGGACAAAGAAGAGGCAGAACACAUACGUGACUCAUUUUCCAGGCAAAGGAUGUGGUCAGUUUAAUCUACAGGAAUACUUCAUAUUCUAAUCAUCCAUGUUUGUAGCGUCUAAAAAGAACAACCUGCCUGUUUUCAGCUAAGAGGCUUUUUAAAAUAGUUGAUUCCAUUUAAGGGGAAGGAGGAUUUCCUUUAUCUCUUUAUUCAGUUUAUCAGAAACACUCUACAUCCGCAUCUGGACACGUGGUUUUCACUUGGCAGGAAGGGGAUGAAAAACAGUCAUCUGAAAAGAAACUAAAGCCGUCAGCGAAAUGUGGUAGAGAAAACAGUACAAUACAAUUAUGAGUAAGUACAUUAAAUAGGAAAACUUGAGUAAAAAACCUAUUGAUUGGUUUAGAAAGCAGACAAGGCUCAGAGGCAUUUCCUCCUUCUUCUUUUCUGCUGAAUCCCAAGUUUUAGAGACUCUGAUCCCGGUUUGGUUACGACUGCGUCAUCAGUCGAGCCGUCGAAGGCUUAAAAUAACUAUAAAAAAAAAAAAAUGUUUUUAUGCUGCCGUGUGGUUGACGCUGCAUUCUGAUUGUACAGCUGUUGAUUGUUGUUGCGCUUUAUGAGCUUUGACUCACCUGUCAAUGUAGCUGGGUUGCAUUUAAGUAAUUUAGCAUGUUAACAUAGUCCGUGCAUGUAGAAGUCAUGGAGUCGAACUCGCACUUGAGUAUUGUUAAAACAAUCUCUUACCCUGCUUGGAGUAAUGUCACGCUCAUCCUCCGUCUUAUACGUUCCAUCUCCACAGGGGUCGUGUCGGGCCCCUCGGGUGGCAGCAGGCCCUCAGCAGCCUCUCAGCCCGGUCGUCCUCUGUGGAUCCAAACAUUGGAUUCAAAAAGGGAAAGAAUUCUACCAAAAAACAUAGUUAUUUGAUCUCCGUUUAUGAAAAAGCGCCGUUAAGCCAGCAGUUUGGUGACCCACAUACAUAAUCUCUCACACUCUGACCACAUAAUAACAUCCUGCCAGUCAUCAGUCACUGCCUUACGUAGCCCUCGGGAAGUUUUAAUGAAUAUAAGUGGAUUUGAAUGCCUCGGUUUAGGAUUAAGUGAUCUGACGGCGCUCCAAAGAGACAAUGCAGGAAAAGAAAAAGCUGGGGGAAAAAAAAGAGGGGAAAUUUUUUUGGGGGAAAAAAAUCCAGCGAAAACAGGAAGGUCACUGAGGUUAAACAAUUUAAAAAUGUGAAGAAAAAGACAAGAUUCUUUCCUUUUUUCUUUUUUACAGUCUGUGCUGGCAUUGUCCACUGUGCAGCUGAUUGAUGGAAUACUUAACUAAUAAUAUAUUAUUUAGCACAUGAAAAUAUAUUAAAAUGUUUUUUUGAUGGAUUUAACACAUUAUAAUGUACUUGUCAGUGUAUAUUUAGUGUGUAUUAAUGUGCUGUGAUUGCCAACAAUCAUAACCACGUAAGACAGUUAUAUUUUCAUGUAGUUCAGGAAGAGUUUGGAUUGUUUACCACAUUAAUAGAAGGAUUUGUCUUAUAAUUAGGUUCAUAUAGUUAUUGGCUCUCUAACAGAAAACAUUUUCGUAGGAAAAUCUUUCGUUUUUCACAAGGACUUUAAUUUUGAAGAAUCUAAAACGGAAGUGUAGCUGUAGCUAAAGGUGUGGGUUUGAAACAGCAAGCCCACGCUUUCUUUUUUGAAAAUUCGUAUAAAUAUUAGAUUGUGUUGAUAGAUGAGAGGAGACAAUGCUGUUUGAAAAAGAGUUCAAAAGGAAUAUUGACUCCUAAAAAACUUUAUUUUAUGUUAAAAACGUGCAUCUUUAUCAACACUAUUACAGCAACAGAUAGAAAUAUAUAAACGUCCAAUUCGAUUCAAUUUUAAAAAUACCAUCAGAAAUUAUAUGCAAAAAAACAAUAAACAACCACAUACCACGGUGAAAACACAAAUGUACUUUCCGUUACAGUAUUAUCUGUUUUAUCAGAGGCUUAUAUUAUUUUGGGAUAUUUUUAUUGCCUGAUUUUGUUGGUCUCAAUGUUGUCCUGAAAUGUUUUAAUCCCAGUUUAACCACCAAAGGCACUUUGUUUAAAGUAUAACAUGCUGUAUGAAUUUGGUUGAUUAUUAAGAUGAUUGUUCCAAAAUUGUUUUGUGUUUUAUUCACACAAAGAUUUCACGUGUUGUGGAUAAAAUGUUCAAUGUAUUUUAGAAGUGCAGCAUAAUAUUUAGUUUACCUAAGCGUAGUGUGUAGCAACCUGACAUCCUGCCUGUACAGAUAAAACGUGAUUUGCUUUUUAAUAAUAGUUAUGGGAUGCACCAUGAUGUAAUAAAUAAAACGUAACGAUAGAGCUAUUUAUAAAACAAUGCAGUUCCGGUUUUAAAGCUGUAUUUGGUGGUACAAGUGAAAGUUGUUACGUUAAUUGUUGCUAUUGUUACAGUGACUUUCCCCUCUACUGUUUAACAGUUUAAUUUGGUGUGUUUCCUUCCUCCUUAAAUAUGAAUGAUACUAUCUGAACGGUUGUAUGAAUUGUUGGUGUCUUUUCUUAUUAGAAUAAAUUCUUUGCACUCUUUUUUGUCAUUUAUUAUGCUUAGCAAUCAACAUGAGAGAAAAGAAAAAGCAAGUAGCCAUCAGCAAUGAUUAUGAAUAGAAAAUGUUCAGUAAAUAGAACGAAAUAGGCGAAAUACAAAAAUACAGUCUAUUUAAAAAAAUAAAAAAUAAAAAUGUUUUUUCAAAAAGUGAUUUAUUUUGAAGGCGCUGGCCGGAAGUGCAGUGGCCGCCGGUCGGCGCGCUCGUUGACGCCGCCGCGUGCGGGCCGAUCGGCAUUCCGAUGUGGGGAGCGAUGUAACCGCCGUGCGGACUCCGCGUCUCCUCCGGCCGCCCCCACGCCGCCCGCGAGGACCCAACAUGUCCGACCCGAAGGAGGCGAACUCUUGUCCCGACGGCUACCGCGCCCUGAGCGCCGGCGAGCUGAGGGAGCUUCUGCUGAACGACGACAAAAUGGACCAAAUCCUCCGGCUCAAUGAGAAGGUGAGGUAGUAACGUUCCCCUCCGCAACCCCCCGCCCGCGCCCGCAAAAAACAACCAGGGCUCCGUGCGGAAUUACCGCCACUUUGACGCUUUGUUGAACCGCUUUCUGUUGCCGUGAACGACGCGGUGUUUUACGGACUUUUACCGUUUAUUUUGUUCGGCUCAGAAAACGAGCGUCGGUGCGUUAGAAUUCGCUCCACGCGCCUCACCGGUUGUCUGCGUGGCGAGCGGUCGGGUCUCUCUCUCUCUCUCCCCCCCCCCGUUAAUUAAUAGUUGCUGAAGCGAGCUGGAACGCGAGGGGUUAAUUAAUUUAAAUGUUGUACGAAUGAGGGGUAGUUUUGCAUUUUGCAAGCCUCCCUACGGGGAAGGAAGCCCCGCAGCGCCUCUACGUGCUCACCGCGAACCCCCCUUUGAAAUACGGGCGUUUAACCGUUUCCUCCCCCCAGCAGGAGGACUCGCACGCCGGGCAGGAGACGUCGGAGUUCUCGCGGUGUGAUACUUUAUUCGGCAUCACUUCGCGAGUCAAACCGAGACUUGUUUUAAUACAGUGUGAACUUUUAGAAGUGUCCGUGUCUCCGGCAGCGCGUUGCUUCUUGGUGUCUCAGAUUGAAGCUGAACGCCUCCAGUGACCUUUGUUAUGGUCCGUUCCUGGGCUGCAGGUGACCUUCCUGCCUUAAAGCCACAAUGAACCCCUCUCUUUGACACACACACACACACACAAUGUGCCGCUGGUUCCCCAAACAUUUCCUUGGGCCCCAUUUUGAUGAGGUUUGCCUUGGAGCAGUUGCUCAAACAGAGCUUCUCGGUGAGGAUUCAUCUGGCCGCAGAAGUGCUGAUGGAGGAAUAACAAUAGAGUGUGCAGUGAAACCUAAGCUGAUCGCCAUCGUCAUCUUCAUCAUCGCACACGUUCUCGCCGCCGUGCCCAACGACACUCUUCAUCUUUUAUUUACCGAGACGCCCGCUCUGCAGACAAAGGCGCGCGUUAGUCACCCGCCCCGGGGUUCUCGGACGCGCUGGAUGUGACAUUUGAAACCUGGCGCUCCUGAUGGGAACCACGGAGGUUGGAUCUCGCCGAGAGGUCAUACAACACCACCCCCCCUCUCUCUCCCCCCUCGGGGGCAGAGCAGUGUGACGGGCUUAACAACUAAUAAUAGAGAGCUUGUGUUUGUUGCAGAGGACGUUUCUGUUGGGACGUAAUCGACUCUACGCGAAGAGUCUCUCGUGUCUCAUCCCUCGUUAACGGCGUGUCCGUCCACGCCUGAUCUGUCGAGCGUUCUGCAUUUCCAAAUUAACGACGUGAACGCAAAACCAAGCAAAGGUUCGCUUUUGUGGUAUUUGCAGUUCCACGGUCUGAAACGGCGUCAGGCCUUGAUGAGACCUCGGGGGAUAUUUCUCAAUUUUCUCCCAUUUGCGUAACUAAUUAAUGCAAAACCUGCAAUGACGAGCUGUAAACGCCGGUAUCACGUCUCUAUGGUGUUGAUUGAUGAACCGUUGCCUAUUUACAGCUGC